GCCAGAAUGGCUCAGUGGUUGAGUGUUGACCAAUGAACCAAGGAGGUCAGGGUUCGAUUCCCGGUUAGGGCA
rnacentral:tRNA from 1 species